AUGGCAGGGAGGAGCACGGAGACGCCGCCGACGGUGGUGGGCGGCUACGAGCUGCGCGAGCGCCUCGGCGGGCGGCCCCCGGCCACGUCGGUGUGGCGCGCGGUGCGGCUGUCGACCGGCGCCCCCGCGGCGGUGAAGCAGGUGCGGCUGGCCGGCCUCCCCGGCCGCCUCCGCGACAGCCUCGACUGCGAGCUCCGCUUCCUCGCCGCCGUCAGCCACCCCAACAUCAUCCGCCUCCUCGACGUCGUCCGGACCCCAGGCUGCAUCUACCUCGUCAUGGAGCUCUGCGAGGGGGGAGACCUGGCGACCUACAUCGAGCGGAGCGGCGGCAGGGUGGAGGAGAGCGUCGCCAGGAAUUUCAUGAGACAGAUCGGAGCUGGUUUGCAAGUGCUCCGCCGGCACCACGUCGUCCACCGGGACUUGAAACCUGAGAAUAUCCUACUCUCUUGUCUUGGCAGCGAUGCGAUACUCAAGAUAUCCGAUUUUGGUCUGUCCAGGGUUCUUCAUCCUGGGGAGUAUGCGGAGACAGCCUGUGGCACCCGCUUGUACAUGGCCCCUGAAGUCAUGCUAUUUCAGAAGUACGAUGACAAGGUAGACUUGUGGAGUAUCGGCGCGAUCCUCUUUGAGCUCUUGAACGGCUACCCACCAUUCCGUGGUAGAAGCAAUGUGCAGAUGCUUCAAUGUAUAAACAGAACUGGCUCCCUUCCGUUCUCGCAACUCGUGGUACCCAGCCUGCAUCCUGAUUGCAUCGACAUAUGCACCAGACUACUAUGCACGAAUCCAGUGAAGCGGCUGUCCUUGCAAGAAUUCAUCAACCACGGCUUCCUCAGACCGUAG
rnacentral:rRNA from 1 species